GGAAAGCGAGCGGCGGAUGGGUGAGUAACACGUGGGGAACCUGCCCCUAAGUCUGGGAUACCAUUUGGAAACAGGUGCUAAUACCGGAUAAUAAAGCAGAUCGCAUGAUCAGCUUUUGAAAGGCGGCGUAAGCUGUCGCUAAGGGAUGGCCCCGCGGUGCAUUAGCUAGUUGGUAAGGUAACGGCUUACCAAGGCGACGAUGCAUAGCCGAGUUGAGAGACUGAUCGGCCACAUUGGGACUGAGACACGGCCCAAACUCCUACGGGAGGCAGCAGUAGGGAAUCUUCCACAAUGGACGCAAGUCUGAUGGAGCAACGCCGCGUGAGUGAAGAAGGUUUUCGGAUCGUAAAGCUCUGUUGUUGGUGAAGAAGGAUAGAGGUAGUAACUGGCCUUUAUUUGACGGUAAUCAACCAGAAAGUCACGGCUAACUACGUGCCAGCAGCCGCGGUAAUACGUAGGUGGCAAGCGUUGUCCGGAUUUAUUGGGCGUAAAGCGAGCGCAGGCGGAAAAAUAAGUCUAAUGUGAAAGCCCUCGGCUUAACCGAGGAACUGCAUCGGAAACUGUUUUUCUUGAGUGCAGAAGAGGAGAGUGGAACUCCAUGUGUAGCGGUGGAAUGCGUAGAUAUAUGGAAGAACACCAGUGGCGAAGGCGGCUCUCUGGUCUGCAACUGACGCUGAGGCUCGAAAGCAUGGGUAGCGAACAGGAUUAGAUACCCUGGUAGUCCAUGCCGUAAACGAUGAGUGCUAAGUGUUGGGAGGUUUCCGCCUCUCAGUGCUGCAGCUAACGCAUUAAGCACUCCGCCUGGGGGAGUACGACCGCAA
rnacentral:rRNA from 1 species